rnacentral:rRNA from 1 species
UAGCGAAAGCUAAUUGCGAAUAUCGACUCUGUCGAAUAAAAUUCUAGGUAGAAUUAUGAUAAUGACAUUAUCUGCCUAUGUGUCUUGACCAAAUUACGUGCCAGCAGUCGCGGUAAUACGUAGAAGACUAGUGUUAUUCAUCUUUAAUAGGUUUAAAGGGUACCUAGACGGUAAAUCAAGCACUAAUUUACUAGAGUUACUUAUGAGGGGGUAUUAAAGUACUGGUGGUGUAGAGAUGAAAUUCUUUGAUACCUUUUUUUCAUGGCACAGGUAUAGGCGAAAGCAUCCCCUUAUGUGAUAACUGACGUUGAAGGACGAAGG